rnacentral:rRNA from 1 species
GUAAUGAUCCAGAAAGCGGCUUUCGCAAUUGGUAUUCUUUCUAAUAUCUGGGAAUUUCACCUCUACACUAGAAAUUCUGCUUUCCUCUAUCAUACUCUAGCUGAAAAGUUUUGAUGGCAGUUCCAGAGUUAAGCUCUGGGAUUUCACCACCAACUUUUUCAACCACCUACGAACUCUUUAAGCCCAGUAAUUCCGAACUACGCUAGGUCCCUUCGUAUUACCGCGGCUGCUGGCACGAAGUUAGCCGGACCUUCUUAUUCGGGUACAGUCAUUUUCUUCCCCGACGAAAGAGCUUUACAACCCAAAGGCCUUCUUCACUCACGCGGCAUCGCUGCAUCAGAGUUUCCUCCAUUGUGCAAGAUUCCCCACUGCUGCCUCCCGUAGGAGUUUGGGCCGUGUCUCAGUCCCAAUGUGGCUGAUCAUCCUCUCAAAUCAGCUAUUGAUCAUAGUCUUGGUAGGCCAUUACCUUACCAACAAACUAAUCAAGUGCGGGCUCAUCCAAUGGUGCAUAAAGCUUUCUCCGUAAAGACUUAUCCGGUAUUAGCACAAGUUUCCUCGUGUUAUUCCAGGCCAAAGGGUAGAUACCCACAUGUUACUCACCCGUCUGCCACUAAGUAUUGCUACUUCGUUCGACUUGCAUGUGUUAGGCGGUCCGCCAGCGUACGUUCUGAGCCAGG